GACGUAGGGCGCGAGCGUUGUCCGGAUUUACUGGGCGUAAAGGGCGCGUAGGCGGUCAGCACAAGUCAGUUGUGAAAUCUCCGGGCUUAACCCGGAACGGUCAACUGAUACUGUGCGACUAGAGUGCGGAAGGGGCAACUGGAAUUCUCGGUGUAGCGGUGAAAUGCGUAGAUAUCGAGAGGAACACCUGCGGCGAAGGCGGGUUGCUGGGCCGACACUGACGCUGAUGCGCGAAAGCCAGGGGAGCGAACGGG
rnacentral:rRNA from 1 species